rnacentral:rRNA from 1 species
CCCUUAGAUGUUCUGGGCCGCACACGCGCUACACUGAAGGAGGCAGCGUGUACUCCUGGAUCGAAAGAUUUGGGUAACCCGCGAAUCUCCUUCGUGCUAGGGAUUGAGGUUUGCAAUUAUCCUUCAUGAACGAGGAAUUCCCAGUAAGUGCAAGUCAUAAGCUUGCGCUGACUACGUCCCUGCCCUUUGUACACAUCGCCCGUCGCUACUACCGAUUGAAUGAUUUAGUGAGGACUUCGGACUGGGACCGAUGCGGCUUUCGGGCUGCGUCGGUAUUCUGGAAAGAUGUCCAAACUGUAUCAUUUAGAGGAAGUAAAAGUCGUANCA